rnacentral:rRNA from 1 species
AUUGAACGCUGGCGGCAUGCCCUACACAUGCAAGUCGAACGGCAGCACGGGAGCAAUCCUGGUGGCGAGUGGCGAACGGGUGAGUAAUAUAUCGGAACGUGCCCAGUAGUGGGGGAUAACUGCUCGAAAGAGCAGCUAAUACCGCAUACGACCUGAGGGUGGAAGGGGGGGAUCGCAAGACCUCUCGCUAUUGGAGCGGCCGAUAUCAGAUUAGCUAGUUGGUGGGGUAAAGGCCUACCAAGGCAACGAUCUGUAGUUGGUCUGAGAGGACGACCAGCCACACUGGGACUGAGACACGGCCCAGACUCCUACGGGAGGCAGCAGUGGGGAAUUUUGGACAAUGGGCGAAAGCCUGAUCCAGCAAUGCCGCGUGCAGGAAGAAGGCCUUCGGGUUGUAAACUGCUUUUGUCAGGGAAGAAAUCCUCUAGGUUAAUACCCUUGGGGGGAUGACGGUACCUGAAGAAUAAGCACCGGCUAACUACGUGCCAGCAGCCGCCGUAACAC